GGAGUUGUGGCUCAGCAGUAGAGCACUUGCCUGGCAUGUGUGAGGCACUAGGUUCAAUUCUUAGCACCA
rnacentral:tRNA from 1 species